rnacentral:rRNA from 1 species
UACGGGGGGAGCAAGCGUUGUUCGGAUUUAUUGGGCGUAAAGGGCUCGUAGGCGGUCUGUUGCGUCGGGAGUGAAAACUUACAGCUUAACUGUGAGCGUGCUUUCGAUACGGGCAGACUUGAGGCAUUCAGGGGAGAACGGAAUUCCUGGUGUAGCGGUGGAAUGCGUAGAUAUCGAGAGGAACACCGGUGGCGAAGGCGGCUCACUGGUCCGGUACUGACGCUGAGGAGCGAAAGCAUGGGGAGCGAACAGG